rnacentral:tRNA from 1 species
GUCUGGCUGGCUUGGUAGAGCAUGAGACUCUUGAUCUCAGGGUCGUGGGUUUGAGCCCCACGUGGCAUG